GAGGAUGUAGCUCAGUGGUAGAGUGUGUGCUUGGCAUGCAGGAGGUCCUGGGUCCAAUCCCCAGCACCUCCG
rnacentral:tRNA from 1 species